GAUGAACGCUGGCUACAGGCUUAACACAUGCAAGUCGAGGGGAAACGACGGGGAAGCUUGCUUCCCCGGGCGUCGACCGGCGCACGGGUGAGUAACGCGUAUCCAACCUGCCUCUGACUGAGGGAUAACCCGUCGAAAGUCGGCCUAAUACCUCAUGGCAUCGUCUGCGGGCAUCCAACGACGAUUAAAGAUUUCAUCGGUCAGGGAUGGGGAUGCGUCUGAUUAGCUUGUUGGCGGGGUAACGGCCCACCAAGGCGACGAUCAGUAGGGGUUCUGAGAGGAAGGUCCCCCACAUUGGAACUGAGACACGGUCCAAACUCCUACGGGAGGCAGCAGUGAGGAAUAUUGGUCAAUGGGCGGGAGCCUGAACCAGCCAAGUAGCGUGCAGGAUGACGGCCCUAUGGGUUGUAAACUGCUUUUAUGCGGGGAUAAAGUGAGGGACGUGUCCCUCAUUGCAGGUACCGCAUGAAUAAGGACCGGCUAAUUCCGU
rnacentral:rRNA from 1 species